rnacentral:rRNA from 1 species
UGCCAGCAGCCGCGGUAAUACGGAGGGUGCGAGCGUUAAUCGGAUUUAUUGGGCGUAAAGGGCGUCUAGGCGGGGAUGUAAGUCAGACGUGAAAUCCCGGGGCUCAACCUCGGAACUGCAUUUGAAACUACAUCUCUAGAGGGUAGGCGGAGAGAACGGAAUUCCACAUGUAGCGGUGAAAUGCGUAGAUAUGUGGAAGAACACCCGUGGCGAAGGCGGUUCUCUAGCUUACUCCUGACGCUGAAGCGCGAAAGCAAGGGGAGCGAACAGGAUUAGAUA